UCUUGGGGUCGGCUCCUUCCGGGAGGGUGCGACAACGCGGCCGGGCCAAUUCGUCUAGCGCUUCUUCUUCUUAUUCUUCGUUGCCCUCCAAAAACACGCCCCGUUUCUUCUUUCUUGUGCUCCAUGUGUGCAUCUUCUACUACUA
ensembl:ncRNA B0491.9 ncRNA